rnacentral:antisense_RNA from 1 species
AGUAUCCAAAGAUUACUCCUGGGUUACCAGUUGGGUAGUUAAUUACACGCACAUCACCUCCUCCUGGAGCCCAUGUGUCGUAAAUACCACCGAAGUACAUUGCUUUCCAUACAAGAAGCCAAGCACCAAAUCCAAGGAGUACGAGGUGAAUUCCUAAGAUUGUUGUCAUUUUGUUCUUGUCUUUCCA